rnacentral:rRNA from 1 species
GAUGAACGCUGGCGGCGUGCCUAAUACAUGCAAGUCGAGCGAACGGACGAGAAGCUUGCUUCUCUGAUGUUAGCGGCGGACGGGUGAGUAACACGUGGAUAACCUACCUAUAAGACUGGGAUAACUUCGGGAAACCGGAGCUAAUACCGGAUAAUAUUUUGAACCGCAUGGUUCAAAAGUGAAAGACGGUCUUGCUGUCACGUAUAGAUGGAUCCGCGCUGCUGUAGCUAGUUGGUAAGGUAACGGCUUACCAAGGCAACGAUGCAUAGCCGACCUGAGAGGGUGAUCGGCCACACUGGAACUGAGACACGGUCAAGACUCCUGCGGGAGGCAGCAGUAGGGAAUCUUCCGCAAUGGGCGAAAGCCUGACGGAGCAACGCCGCGUGAGUGAUGAAGGUCUUCGGAUCGUAAAACUCUGUUAUUAGGGAAGAACAUAUGUGUAAGUAACUGUGCACAUCUUGACGGUACCUAAUCAGAAAGCCACGGCUAACUACGUG